AUCACAGCCACUUUUGAUGAGCC
rnacentral:miRNA from 1 species